UUUGGUGGUGAUGGCAGAGAGGUCACACCCGUUCCCAUACCGAACACGGAAGUUAAGCUCUCUAGCGCCGAUGGUAGUUGGGACCUUGUCCCUGUGAGAGUAGGACGUCGCCAAGC
rnacentral:rRNA from 1 species